UGCUUGUUGGUUUAUCAGCUGUUAAAACAAGUUGCAGCGGCAGAAACGUGCAAAAACAGCAAAAACUCGCUGGCUUGAUUUAGUUUAGUGCAAAAACUUUUAUUUUUAUUUUUUGCUGUAAUGUGAGCGCUGCUUACUUUCAUAUGCUUUUGCUUUGAUUGCGAUGUGUGUUGUUGUGAUUAUUGUUAUGUGGCUGUUUGUUAUGUUUGUGUUAACACGUUCAUUUCGCUGUCUCUACACAUGUAUGUUUGCUUGUUUGUGGUUAAGACUUCAAAAGUAGCAACAGUCAUAGCAAUAGCGACGAUUUUACUGCUGCUACUGCUGCCGUUCACUGCCACAAAAACCACAUCAAAUCACAACAAAUUCAUUCAGUGUGUUGUGGAAAUCGCUGGACGUCGGUUGUUGUGCUUUUUUCCUGAUCAUUCUAUAUUUGUUUGGCUCCGUUUUUGUUUUGACCGUUCUUACGCGAUUUUUGAUAUAUUUUUGGUUGUUUAAAAAAAAGAAUUAAAUUCGAUUGUUUUUAUUUUGUGUUUGUUUUCGGUGAGUGUAUUUUGCUAGCGACGCGAGUGUAAAAGUGAAUGCAUACACGUACAUACAUACUGAUAGCUAGGGCCGACAAGUUAGACAGACAGUUCAUUCGCAUGUGUUACUCUUGCACAUUGGGCUUUAAGAUGGAGUACAUACACAUAGGCAAA